rnacentral:rRNA from 1 species
GACAGAGGGUGCAAACGUUGCUCGGAAUCACUGGGCGUAAAGGGCGUGUAGGCGGGAAGGAAAGUCAGAUGUGAAAUCCCUGGGCUCAACCCAGGAACUGCAUUUGAAACUCCCUUUCUUGAGUGUCGGAGAGGAAAGCGGAAUUCCUGGUGUAGAGGUGAAAUUCGUAGAUAUCAGGAGGAACACCGGUGGCGAAGGCGGGUCUCUGGGCCGUAACUGACGCUGGAGGAGCGGAAAGCAUGGGGAGCGAACAGG